ACUUUCAAUGUUUUCUUGUCGAUUUUUUUUUAUUUUCUGUAAAUUCUCUGAAAGUUCUGUCAAUAUUUGUUCCAUCUCUAAGAAUGCACUUGAAGAUUUCACAUUCUUAAUGACGUCAUCUAUCGCGUUGAAAUCUUUGCAAUCGUUAUGGGUUUCAACAACACAUCGACUACAACAUGGUCUGUCAUGCUUCUUACAAAAUAUAACGUAUAUUUCAUCGUGUUCUGAACAUGUUUUGGUGAUUUUCAAUAUAUUAGAAGGUAAAUUCUGGUAAUCGGAUUGUAAAAUAAUACUAUGGCUUCU
rnacentral:lncRNA from 1 species